rnacentral:rRNA from 1 species
AGAUUGAACGCUGGCGGCAGGCCUAACACAUGCAAGUCGAGCGGUAGAGAGGUGCUUGCAUCUCUUGAGAGCGGCGGACGGGUGAGUAAUGCCUAGGAAUCUGCCUAGUGGUGGGGGAUAACGUUCGGAAACGGACGCUAAUACCGCAUACGUCCUACGGGAGAAAGCGGGGGACCUUCGGGCCUCGCGCCAUUAGAUGAGCCUAGGUCGGAUUAGCUAGUUGGUGAGGUAAUGGCUCACCAAGGCGACGAUCCGUAACUGGUCUGAGAGGAUGAUCAGUCACACUGGAACUGAGACACGGUCCAGACUCCUACGGGAGGCAGCAGUGGGGAAUAUUGGACAAUGGGCGAAAGCCUGAUCCAGCCAUGCCGCGUGUGUGAAGAAAGGUCUUCGGAUUGUAAAGCACUUUAAGUUGGAGGAAGGGUUGUAACCUAAUACGUUGCAACUUUGACGUUACGACAGAAUAAGCACGGCUAACUCUGUGCCAGCACG